UGAAAUAUUCAGAACAGCAGACGAUCUAACUUCGUUGAAAUGUCAAGUCACUAUUGGUAGACAAAAAGUUUCUUUAGCUAUCUUUCAACAAUCUGUAAAAUAACUUAGAUAGUGUUCUAAAGCACUCUUCCCUUCUACGUUUCAAUUCACCGUGUCUGCGCAUUCUCUCUAAAUUCAGUUUGUCACCCUACUUGAUAGCUUGUGUUUAUUGACUAAGCUGGAAAAUUGUGCAUACGACGAUGACCAAGGGACUGAUAAUUCAUACUGGUAAUAUUAUACAGCUGCCAGAUUUGAAAAGAAAACCAGGCCACACACCUACUGAUGAGGUUCAAAAUGUAUUUUUGUUUUUGGGGUUCAUUUCUUAAUUUUAAAAAAUAGCUCUAUGAUGCCUUGAAAGUUCAGCUGUAUAAAACAUUGGCUAAUGGGGAUGCUGAGAUACUUUCUCCAUUGGAAUUGUCAUCUCUUCUAGUCCCAGAGGAAUGCAAAAAAAAAAAAAAAAUACUAUAAAUUAUCUCUUUCAUCUCCUCAAUCAGAAUUUAACAAAUUGUCCUUGACAGCAGGUAUAUGAAAUGCUAAUGCUUUUAAUAUUUUUAGGUUGAUUAUGAGAAGCCCUCUUCCGUCAUCCGAUCCAUUGACGACAUUUCGAUUCGUCAAUAUGGUUUACCAUGGAGAAGGCCGGAUUGUCUUUCACAACACUGUGUUCUACUGGUGCCACCAAGCGGAUUAGCUCCAGUCAGGCUUCAGCAAUCAGCAUACUCCCACAAAUUUAGCAUGUCGAUGUUUCUCCCAUCAUUCUCCUUCAUGAUAGAACUGAUACUUUGAAGAGUAUGGAUCUCUGCAAAAGAAGUUAAUUUAGUUAAAUAUGAUUUGAUACUGGAUAAUUGUAGAUAUGAACGAAUUUUUGUUGUUCAAACCAAAAACAUCAGUGGAAGCACAGGCCUGUGGUAGCAGCAAUGGCAAAAAAAAUGUUUUUUCGUAACUCAGUGUUGUGUGAAAAUUGGGAACAGUGGAUUUUCCAGGAGAACAUUUAUAAUUCAAACUAUUUUUGUUAGUGGCAAGCAUGUGAAAAUAUCUAUAUUUAAUAGUGAAAAGGAAGCAUUAAUAAAUGCUUGGACGAAUGAGAAUUUAUUUGUUAACCAACAUUGCUGCCAAAGGAAUUUUGUCACAUAAAGUAGGUCAGCACAAUCAGCAGAACUUUUUCCACUGCCUACUUUUUCACACUGUAGGGCUGAGAAUCCAAAUUGGACAUUGAUUUGAAUUAAGUACGACUUUUUGUACAAAAUUAAAACGAAAACAAAGUGUCGAUUUUUUGUACAAAAAAAGUCGGGCUUAAUAACUGAAAUAUAUUUCGAUAGAUGGCAGUGCACAUGUAGAUAGCAGUGCAUCUAAGAUUUUUUGGUCCCGAUCUAGUGGAAUUUACAUUCGUCUGAAGUGUGCCAUCGCCAUUGUGAACGAAGCAUGGGUCACUACAAAUCAUCUUCUGAUACGUUGUCCGGUUUUUAAAAAUCUUUUAUUACUUUAAUAUGUCUUUUUGUAAUUCCUUGGGCAUUAACACUCUCUAAUCAACAAAGAAACUGCUUUUCUCAUGUUACUUUUACCAAUUUUUUUAUACUCGUACAUUUAGUUGAUUAUAGAAAACAUCUUGACAUUCACACGAAUGCCUUUGUCUUAUCUGAUCGUGUUAACAUGCUGAUUCGUUCUUGCCACUGGCCGAAGCCAUUUUGUCAAAUUUUGCAUCUUUCCAAAAUUUAAUCACACACAAGCAUUCUGGCAUGUGUCAGGCAACGGGUUACAGGAAUGGCAUGGUCCCCUUUUGGUGUUGAGCCUGGCCUACACCCUCGGUUAUUGAAAAUGGUGUUGGAACAAGUAAUUACAUGGAGCUGGAGCGUCAAUUUGGGACUUGAUUUGUCAUCUGUUGGUUGACGUAGGAAAACACAGAUUGAACCCACCAUUUUAUUCCCACACUUAUCAUUGGAAUUCUGGGAUGGUAGCUGUUGUUGCAGGACACUCCUUGGUUCAUUAGUGAGGUUCCAGAAAGCAGCAUUCCAAGAGCAAGAAUACAAUUUGCCGGCUGUCAACACAAUAUAGAUUGUUUAACUUUGUUUUCUUGCCUUGGUGGUGAAAUUGAAUUAUAUUGAGAUUUAAAACA
rnacentral:lncRNA from 1 species